rnacentral:rRNA from 1 species
UACGGGGGGGGCAAGCGUUGUUCGGAAUUACUGGGCGUAAAGGGCUUGUAGGUGGCCAACUAAGUCAGACGUGAAAUCCCUCGGCUUAACCGGGGAACUGCGUCUGAUACUGGAUGGCUUGAGUGUGGGAGAGGGAUGCGGAAUUCCAGGUGUAGCGGUGAAAUGCGUAGAUAUCUGGAGGAACACCGAUGGCGAAGGCAGGUCUCUGGGCCACUACUGACGCUGAGAAGCGAAAGCAUGGGGAGCGAACAGG